rnacentral:rRNA from 1 species
GACGAACGCUGGCGGCGUGCUUAACACAUGCAAGUCGAACGGAAAGGCCUGCUUUCCCUUGUGGAUUGCGGGUACUCGAGUGGCGAACGGGUGAGUAACACGUGAGUGAUCUGCCCCCAACUUGGGUAUAAGCCUGGGAAACUGGGUCUAAUUCCCGAUAGGACUGCAGGGUGGUGCCUGUGGUGGAAAACGAUUUUCUAGUGGUUGGGGAUGAGCUCGCGGCCUAUCAGCUUGUUGGUGGGGUAAUGGCCUACCAAGGCGGCGACGGGUAGCCGGCCUGAGAGGGUGGACGGCCACAGUGGGACUGAGAUACGGCCCAGACUCCUACGGGAGGCAGCAGUGGGGAAUAUCGCACAAUGGGCGGAAGCCUGAUGCAGCGACGCCGCGUGGGGGAUGACGGCCUUCGGGUUGUAAACUCCUUUCGACCGCGAGGAAGCCACCUGGUUGGAAGGGUGGUGACGGUAGUGGUAGAAGAAGCACCGGCUAACUACGUG